GAUGAACGCUGGCGGCGUGCUUAACACAUGCAAGUCGAACGGAAAGGCUCCUGCUUGCAGGGGUACUCGAGUGGCGAACGGGUGAGUAACACGUGGGUGAUCUGCCCUGCACUUCGGGAUAAGCCUGGGAAACUGGGUCUAAUACCGGAUAGGACGAUGGUUUGGAUGCCAUUGUGGAAAGUUUUUCGGUGUGGGAUGAGCUCGCGGCCUAUCAGCUUGUUGGUGGGGUAAUGGCCUACCAAGGCGUCGACGGGUAGCCGGCCUGAGAGGGUGUACGGCCACAUUGGGACUGAGAUACGGCCCAGACUCCUACGGGAGGCAGCAGUGGGGAAUAUUGCACAAUGGGCGCAAGCCUGAUGCAGCGACGCCGCGUGGGGGAUGACGGCCUUCGGGUUGUAAACUCCUUUCGCUAGGAACGAAGCGCAAGUGACGGUACCUGGAGAAGAGGCACCGGCUAACUACGUG
rnacentral:rRNA from 1 species